CUCCCUCACUCUCUCUGCCUCACACGCCUCCCUCCUCUCUCUAUUCAUUCUCUCAAAAAAAACCCUCCUUCAAUCCUUUGUUCUUGUGUCAAUUGGAGUUGGAACUUCAAGAUUCACCGAAGAAUCGCACCAACUGUCGUUUCUACAGUUUGUUUUUGACCAAAGAAGGGUUGUUGUGUGUACGUGAGCACAAGAAACGAGGGUUGCUUUGAGUUGGGUAUUGUAUUGUUCAAGCAAGCGAGGUUGAGCGGGAUGUUGCGAUGGAUGUUGAGUCGGCCUACAAAUUU